GGUUGUAGCUCAGUGGUAGAGCACUCGCUUAGCAUGGGCGAGGCCUUGGGUUCGAUCCUCAACACCA
rnacentral:tRNA from 1 species